GAAAGAUGCUAAACUAUUUUUGCGAUGUGUUCCUAAUACGUAAUAUAAAUGUAUUGGGGACAUUUUGCAUUCAUAGUUUUGUAUCAAUGAU
rnacentral:pre_miRNA from 10 species